GCAAAGAUGUUCUAAUCUGCGUUUGAGGGGUCGGGUUUGGGUUGUGCUACGUUCGUUAAAGAGGGGAUGGCGUACAGAGUAUUGGAGAUACAGGAAUUGGAGUGUGUGGGGAUAAAAAUGAUGUAGAUGUGGAUAUGAUUGAGGGUAGAAGAGAAUGGGGUGAUGACGUGAGACGGGGUGUGGAGAGAUGUAUAGAUAAUCGGUUUUAUUUGUUUUUAAUUAUUUAUACAGAUGGUUCAAAUGAUCCAGUCAGUGGUAGGGUGGGGGCUGGGGUGUAUAUCCCAGAUGUCAAUGUUAGAGUAUGUAAGCGGUUAAUUGAUUGUGUCAGUGUAUGCGGCCGAGUUGAUGGCAAGAUUAUAGGUUUGAGAUGGGUGGAGGAGAUGAAACCACUCAGAAUGGUGAUCUGCUCUGAUUCGGCUGCAGUGUUGAGUAGUGUGAAGACGGGCAGGUCGGAUAGGGGAGACUUGUUUGUGUAGAUGAUGGUGUUGUUAAUGGGAUUGAAGAGGAUGAGAGUGGUGGUAAGCUUUUGUUGGGUUCCCGCCCAUGUGAGUGUGGAGGGUAAUGAGAAGGCUGAUGUGGUGGCUAAGAGUGUGGUGAGGAGAGAGGGGGUAGAUAUUCAGGUCCCGUUGGGCCAUAAGGAAGUCAAGUCCUUGAUCCGGGCAAAAGUGCUUGAUCUUUGACAAAGGGAGUGGGAUGCUAGUAGUAAGGGGUGGUAAUUUUAUCGCGUGCACCGGUCAGUUAAGGAAGAGGUGGGGAGUAUGGGAUGUAAGAGAGAGGAAGUUGUGUGGAGUAGACCACGGUUUGGGCACAGGUUUGAAUGCCACGUUGUGGAUGAUAAGGAUACACGAAACAGGUCUGUGUGAUGAGUCUUUAGUGGAAGAAACAGUGGAGCAUGUGUUGAUAUUUUGUGACGUAGAUAGGGAGAGAAUCCCUCAAAACGCAGCACGAACGGCUCAAAGCAGACUGAGCAGCAAUACUUUGACGUUGAGAAGAGGUUGGCAGAGAGUCAGGAGCAGAUUGUGUCUCAUACCCGGAUUACCAGACUCUCAAAGAGGAGAACAGCAAACUCGAGCUGAACAAUCUGAAAGUUGUGGAUGUGGAAUCGUCAGAGGAGAAGGAAUCACAGCAGCCGCACUGUGAGAAGCUUAUGGAGCAGGAGAAGCAGCUGCAACAAAACCAGAACACGUGGCUGAACUCUGAACCAAGACAGAGGAGCUGCUGUCAGUCUCCAGGGAAAAGGGCAAGGAGAUCCUGGAGCUCAAGUGCAGCCUGGAGGGGAAGCGGGAUGAGGUCACAAGGCUUCAAACCCAAGUCACUAACCCGAAGAAUAGCAGUGAGAACCUGCAGAAGCUAGUGGAGGACCUGAUGACCAAACUGAAAGAGGCUAAAGACCAACAGAGCACCAUGGAGGUGUGAACUAAACGCUCACAUCAAGCACUCUCCAACUUGUACAAGGGGGCAGCGUCAGACGCCGAGUACAAGAAUGAAGAGCUGAACAGGGCCGUGGAGGAGGUCCGCAAGCUGGUGAAGGAGGCUGGUAAUGCGAGACAGACCAUAGAGAAGAAGCUGGCGGACAUGGAGGGGUCAAAGGGAAAACAGGAGGCUGAGCUGAAGGAGAAGAUCAAGAAGAUGGAGGAGGAGCUGGAGAACGCCAACCUGCGGGCCUCAGAUAAGAGAAGUAUGGGCUUCCCUCGAGCAGGAAGAAGCCCUUUCGGUAGAGGAAACCUAUCCCGCUAAUGAUGUCAUCAUGCACUGCUCCAUUCCCUUACUCCCAAGUCUCAAUCAUAGUGUCUUAGUCUAAUUCAUUUGUGAUCGUGAGAGAGAGCAAUGGUUCGCUUUUUUCUUCCCAAUUUUAUAUCAGCAGAUACCAUGUGCUUUAAAAGCGUUAAUUUUAGUUUUAUAUUUGUUUCAAGAAGAGU